GACAGAGGGUGCAAACGUUGUUCGGAAUUACUGGGCGUAAAGCGCGUGUAGGCGGCUGCGUAAGUCGGGCGUGAAAUCCCAUGGCUCAACCAUGGAAGUGCACCCGAAACUGCGUAGCUAGAGUCCUGGAGAGGAAGGUGGAAUACUUGGUGUAGAGGUGAAAUUCGUAGAUAUCAAGUGGAACACCGGUGGCGAAGGCGGCCUUCUGGACAGUGACUGACGCUGAGACACGAAGGCCAGGGGAGCAAACGGG
rnacentral:rRNA from 1 species